AUCUACCUUUUGGUGGGGAAUAACCCUGGGAAACCGGGGCUAAUACCGCAUAAUCCUGGGAAGGGAAAGGCGAAAGUCGCCGAAAGAGGAGCCCGCGGCUGAUUAGCUAGUUGGUAGGGUAAAGGCCUACCAAGGCGAUGAUUGGUAGCCGGCCUGAGAGGGCACACGGCCACACUGGCACUGAAACACGGGCCAGACUCCUACGGGAGGCAGCAGUGGGGAAUCUUGCACAAUGGGGGAAACCCUGAUGCAGCGACGCCGCGUGAGUGAUGAAGCCCUUCGGGGUGUAAAGCUCUUUCGGCAGGGACGAUAAUGACGGUACCUGAAGAAGAAGCUGCGGCUAACUACGUGCCAGCAGCCGCGGUAAUACGUAGGCAGCGAGCGUUGUUCGGAGUUACUGGGCGUAAAGAGUGCGUAGGCGGUUUUCUAAGUUUGGUGUGAAAUCUCCCGGCUCAACUGGGAGGGUGCGCCGAAGACUGGAAGGCUGGAGUAUGGGAGAGGUAAGCGGAAUUCCUGGUGUAGCGGUGAAAUGCGUAGAUAUCAGGAGGAACACCUGCGGUGUAGACGGCUUACUGGACCAUAACUGACGCUGAGGCACG
rnacentral:rRNA from 1 species